rfam:Schistosoma rodhaini strain Burundi genome assembly, scaffold: SROB_scaffold0000081
AUCCAGCUGACGAGUCCCAAAUGGGACGAAACGCGCAUCCUGGAU